UUUGAAUCCUUCAGGUGGACUCAAGACUGCAAUCGCGUGUCGCCCUUAGAGUUUGAUCCUGGCUCAGGACGAACGCUGGCGGCGUGCUUAACACAUGCAAGUCGAACGGAAAGGCCCUGCUUUUGUGGGGUGCUCGAGUGGCGAACGGGUGAGUAACACGUGAGUAACCUGCCCUUGACUUUGGGAUAACUUCAGGAAACUGGGGCUAAUACCGGAUAGGAGCUCCUGCUGCAUGGUGGGGGUUGGAAAGUUUCGGCGGUUGGGGAUGGACUCGCGGCUUAUCAGCUUGUUGGUGGGGUAGUGGCUUACCAAGGCUUUGACGGGUAGCCGGCCUGAGAGGGUGACCGGCCACAUUGGGACUGAGAUACGGCCCAGACUCCUACGGGAGGCAGCAGUGGGGAAUAUUGCACAAUGGGCGGAAGCCUGAUGCAGCAACGCCGCGUGCGGGUUGACGGCCUUCGGGUUGUAAACCGCUUUCGCCUGUGACGAAGCGUGAGUGACGGUAAUGGGUAAAGAAGCACCGGCUAACUACGUGCCAGCAGCCGCGGUGAUACGUAGGGUGCGAGCGUUGUCCGGAUUUAUUGGGCGUAAAGGGCUCGUAGGUGGUUGAUCGCGUCGGAAGUGUAAUCUUGGGGCUUAACCCUGAGCGUGCUUUCGAUACGGGUUGACUUGAGGAAGGUAGGGGAGAAUGGAAUUCCUGGUGGAGCGGUGGAAUGCGCAGAUAUCAGGAGGAACACCAGUGGCGGAAGGCGGGUUCUCUGGGCCUUUCCUGACGCUGAGGAGCGAAAGCGUGGGGAGCGAACAGGCUUAGAUACCCUGGUAGUCCACGCUGUAAACGGUGGGUACUAGGUGUGGGGUCCAUUCCACGGGUUCCGUGCCGUAGCUAACGCUUUAAGUACCCCGCCUGGGGAGUACGGCCGCAAGGCUAAAACUCAAAGGAAUUGACGGGGCCCCGCACAAGCGGCGGAGCAUGCGGAUUAAUUCGAUGCAACGCGUAGAACCUUACCUGGGUUUGACACGGAUCGGGAGCGCUCAGAGAUGGGUGUGCCUCUUUUGGGGUCGGUUCACAGGUGGUGCAUGGCUGUCGUCAGCUCGUGUCGUGAGAUGUUGGGUUAAGUCCCGCAACGAGCGCAACCCUUGUUCACUGUUGCCAGCACGUUAUGGUGGGGACUCAGUGGAGACCGCCGGGGUCAACUCGGAGGAAGGUGGGGAUGACGUCAAGUCAUCAUGCCCCUUAUGUCCAGGGCUUCACGCAUGCUACAAUGGCUGGUACAGAGAGUGGCGAGCCUGUGAGGGUGAGCGAAUCUCGGAAAGCCGGUCUCAGUUCGGAUUGGGGUCUGCAACUCGACCUCAUGAAGUCGGAGUCGCUAGUAAUCGCAGAUCAGCAACGCUGCGGUGAAUACGUUCCCGGGGCUUGUACACACCGCCCGUCAAGUCAUGAAAGUUGGUAACACCCGAAGCCGGUGGCCUAACCGUUGUGGGGGAGCCGUCGAAGGUGGGACUGGUGAUUAGGACUAAGUCGUAACAAGGUAACCAAGGGCGACACGCGAUUGCAGUGUAACACGAGUGAUCCUGAGUCAGAUCAACUGCCUCU
rnacentral:rRNA from 1 species